rnacentral:rRNA from 1 species
GACGAACGCUGGCGGCGUGCCUAAUACAUGCAAGUAGAACGCUGAAGGAGGAGCUUGCUUCUCUGGAUGAGUUGCGAACGGGUGAGUAACGCGUAGGUAACCUGCCUGGUAGCGGGGGAUAACUAUUGGAAACGAUAGCUAAUACCGCAUAAGAGUAGAUGUUGCAUGACAUUUGCUUAAAAGGUGCAAUUGCAUCACUACCAGAUGGACCUGCGUUGUAUUAGGUAGUUGGUGAGGUAACGGCUCACCAAGGCGACGAUACAUAGCCGACCUGAGAGGGUGAUCGGCCACACUGGGACUGAGACACGGCCCAGACUCCUACGGGAGGCAGCAGUAGGGGAUCUUCGGCAAUGGACGGAAGUCUGACCGAGCAACGCCGCGUGAGUGAAGAAGGUUUUCGGAUCGUAAAGAUCUGUUGUAAGAGAAGAACGAGUGUGAGAGUGGAAAGUUCACACUGUGACGGUAUCUUACCAGAAAGGGACGGCUAACUACGUG